rnacentral:rRNA from 1 species
GACGAAAGCUGGCGGCGUGCUUAACACAUGCAAGUCGAGCGGAGCGGCGAACGGGUGAGUAACGCGUGAGUAACUGGCCCCCUCUCUGGGAUAACAGUUGGAAACGGCUGCUAAUACCGGAUAGUGGGGGAUGAAUCGCGUCCUAUCAGCUUGUUGGUGGGGUAGUGGCCUACCACGGCGACGCGGGGUAGCCGGCCUGGGAGGGAGACAGGCCCAAUUGGGCUAAGGUACGGCCCAGACUGCUACGGGUGGCAGCAGAGGGGAAUAUUGCGCAAUGAGGGAAACCCUGAUGCAGCAACGCGCGUGCGGGAUGACGGCCUUCGGUUUGUAAACCGCUUUCAGCCAUGACGCGGUAGUGGCAGAAGAAGCACCGGCUAACUACGUGCCAGCAGCCGCGGUAAUUC